rfam:Brassica oleracea var. oleracea cultivar TO1000 chromosome C3, whole genome shotgun sequence
GCACCAGUGGUCUAGUGGUGGAAUUGUACCUUGCCAUGGUAUAGACCCGGGUUCGAUUACCCGCUGGUGCA